GCAGGGCUCCAGCAAAGGGAAACUGGGGCGGGGGCUGAGAGAAGAUUUGAGACGAGAGCCAGACAGAAGCAUCCAGUUCUAGGUCGGGGGCCAAGAGCAAGAAUUGAAUCUGAAGCAAAGGUCGGAAGAAGUAAAGCCUGGAGAGGUCCCUGGAGGCGAUGCCCAGGCCAAGGGAGGGAGGUUUUCUGGAGAUCAGCCCAGUCAGUCCAAGGAGAGAGAGAGCUUCUCUGGGCUUCCAGCCCCUCGGAAAACAGCCACCGCAUCCCACCCGCAUGGUGCUAUUUUGUGGAUCCUUUCAGUCAGAGCCAUCAGCCUAUGCAACCCAGUCAUGCAUGUUCCUUUGAGCCUGAGAGACAGCGUUGAGGGAGAUGCACU